rnacentral:rRNA from 1 species
CUGGUUGAUCCUGCCAGUAGUCAUAUGCUUGUCUCAAAGAUUAAGCCAUGCAUGUCCAAGUACAAGCCUCAGUAAGGUGAAACCGCGAAUGGCUCAUUAAAUCACACCUGAUAUACUGGACGUUGCCAGUUACUUGGAUAACUGCGGUAAUUCUGGAGCUAAUACAUGCCCUGCAGCCCCGAACUUGCGUGAGGGGCGCUUUUAUUAGACCAAAACCAAACGGCCUCUGGCCGUCCCCCUGGUGACUCUGAAUAACUUUUCGCUGAUCGCACGACUUGACGUCGGCGACGUGUCCUUCUAAGGUGUGCCCUAUCAACUGUCGACUGUGGCAUAGACGCCCACAGUGGUUUUGACGGGUAACGGGGAAUCAGGGUUCGAUUCCGGAGAGGGAGCCUGAGAAACGGCUACCACUUCUAAGGAAGGCAGCAGGCACGCAAAUUACCCACUGGCCGAAGGCCGAGGUAGUGACGAAAAAUAACGAUACCGGACUCAUCCGAGGCCCGGUAAUCGGAAUGAGUACACUUUAAAUCCUUUAACGAGGAACCAUUGGAGGGCAAGUCUGGU